rnacentral:lncRNA from 1 species
CACCAACACCUGUAAAUGUACCAACUCCAGCACCUCAACAUGCACCUGCACCUUUACACGCACCUNNNNNNNNNNACACCAACACCUACAAAUGUACCAACACCUUCACAUGCACCUGCACCUUCACCUGCCCCAGUACCUGCAAAUGCACCAAUGCCUACACCCGUACGUGCAUCUGUCACUGCUCCAACAUUAGCUCCUGUAGUUGCACACACUCCAUCUCCAGUUCCUGCUCCAGCUCAGACGCCAGUCUCUACCGUUCAGUCUCCACCAACACCCAUACCUGCCCCAACCCCUGUCGCUAUGCCCACAUUUGACCCUUCACCAGCCCCUUCACCGGUCCCACCCCCACAGACUCCAGAUCCAGAAAGACGCUCAGCGACACCUGGAGGUACCAGAAAAGGCAAGUCCAGUUUUAGGUCGUAGCGUUCUGUAAUCCUCUCAGGUGUCUAGGGGUUGGUAGGUGCUUGACUCAGAGGUGUGUGUCCUCAGCAGAGAUGAACCUUCUUACUAGUCUGACUUGUCCCUGUUUGCACGGUUUAGAGGUCAAAUGGGAGGACCAGCAGAAGAAAACCGCUAAUGGUAUGGUAACACGUCAGCCCCGUGUUGUUUUCAUGUCAAGGAGACGUGAAACUCUUUGAUCUGUAUUUAGUUUUCUAGCUACUUUAGAAUGCCAAUGAUCGUAGGGUUACCCAGUGCCCCGUGGUUGUAAUAGUACUUAAAUAUAUUAGGAAGUCACGUAGUAUUCCGAUGUAGUCCUUUUAAGUUUCUUUAAUUUGAGCUGAUUAAAAAAAAAAAAAAACUUGAUUAAAGACCCACUCUGAUCAUCUUUUGAUCUACUUUCAAAGCAUCCCAGUGAUGAUGCCGUUUUUAGCUAAAAUAAAUAAAAACUGUCGUUUUCGAGAACAUAGUUUCUGCAAAGUGGCAGAAGUUCAUAAGAACUUCACCUCUGAGCUGUUGGCGGUACCGUUGAUGCAGGGCAACCCCGCCCCUCUUCCCAGUUCCCACUGUGGAACGUAUUUUCUACGUGAUAAAUAGGAUCUUUUUCAAACGGCAUUUUUUUCCAUCAGCUCCUUAAUCACAUCGAUUUGAAUAAAGAAAAACUCAGAAAUGCAGUUUUAAAGAAAAAAUGCCACAAGAACCUGUUAAAAACACCAUUUUCUUCAGAGUGGAUCUUUAACCUCCUGAAGGGAAAUUUAAAGUAUGUUGUAGAUUCUUUUAUGAGAUUAAACAUUUAGCCCUUGCAGGUGGCUUUAGGAGUUACUAUAGGCUAAUUAAGCACAGUUUAGUUUAGUUUUUUCAACCCUCAGGACAUUUGUAUCUAAUGGAUUUGAGAGCUGCUUACUUCCUAUCCCUCCAAAUAGUUUAGAUUGAAUCUGCUGUUAAUGUGUACUUGGUGACUGACCUCUUGUUGGGUUUAUUUGUCUUCCUUUCCUCCUUGGUUGUCAUAUGAAGGAGAGGUGUUACCAGUGAGCAGAGAAGGUAGACGAGCUUUCUUCCACUUUAAGCCUUCAUUUUUAUAGCAACUAAAAGAUUUGAUCUCAAGUUUAUGAAAUUUCUUGUGUCAUAGAUGUCAGAUAAGGAAUAUAUGAAAAUUUGACACACUUUUAUUCAUGUUUUUUCCAUCCUGCAGCUGCAUCUUUCUAGUUUUCUCCUGAUUUUGAAUUGUUGGAGAACUUUUCAUGUCUUUUUUUCUUGAUGUUAACCCUCUACAGUUUGUUGAGCAGCAUUACACUUGAUAGGGAGCAUUUUUUUUACUUUGUAAAACAACUUUUUGGCUAUAAAAACACAUUUGUGAGGAGAAAAAAUAUAACUUUGAAUUCAACAACUAACUACGUAAUAAAUAGAUUAUAUUGCAAAAGGCUUUGCACAUAAAUGUUUAACAUAUUUUCAUUCAGAGGACAUUUGUUAUUAUUAAGUGGAGAUAAAUGAGUUUGAGACAUGGAUGUAAUAAGGAUGGUUGUUAUGAGGAUGCAGAGGAGAGGAUUGGAUGGAGUAAGAUGCUUGGUUGUGGCGCCCCCUAAAGGAAGGAGCUGAAAAACAGAGAAAAUAGUGGUUAUUUUUAUGAUUUUAAGAUUAUUUGGAAAUACAACAAACUAAUCAAACAAUAAUGCAACUUAACUAUAAAAAUACUGUUUUCAAAUUGUAAUUAUGAAGCACUUUGCAAUGUAAUUUGUUUAUUUGUGUUGUUGAUCAUCCAAAGGAUUCAUAGACUUCUUUAGGGAUUGUACUUUAUUUUGAAAAGAUUGAAGCUGAUUCUGUGCUGAAAGUUCACUCAAACUGACUGCAUUGACCAAGAUCACACGAUCUGGCAACCUGUUGUUCUAAACUCCCUCC